rnacentral:rRNA from 1 species
AGGGUUCGAUCAUGGCUCAGGACGAACGCUGGCGGCGCGCCUAACACAUGCAAGUCGAACGGAAUUAUUUCGGUUGAAGUUUUCGGAUGGAAACUGAUUUAGUUUAGUGGCGAACGGGUGAGUAACGCGUGAGUAACCUGCCCUGGAGUGGGGGACAACAGUUGGAAACGACUGCUAAUACCGCAUAAGCCCACGGCCCGGCAUCGGGUUGAGGGAAAAGGAUUUAUUCGCUUCAGGAUGGACUCGCGUCCAAUUAGCUAGUUGGUGAGGUAACGGCCCACCAAGGCGACGAUUGGUAGCCGGACUGAGAGGUUGAACGGCCACAUUGGGACUGAGACACGGCCCAG